rnacentral:rRNA from 1 species
AGCGAACGCUGGCGGCAGGCUUAACACAUGCAAGUCGAGCGCCCGUAGCAAUACGGGAGCGGCAGACGGGUGAGUAACACGUGGGAACGUGCCUUUUGGUUCGGAACAACUGAGGGAAACUUCAGCUAAUACCGGAUAAGCCCUUACGGGGAAAGAUUUAUCGCCAAAAGAUCGGCCCGCGUCUGAUUAGCUAGUUGGUGGGGUAAUGGCCCACCAAGGCUACGAUCAGUAGCUGGUCNGAGAGGAUGAUCAGCCACACUGGGACUGAGACACGGCCCAGACUCCUACGGGA